UUCAUUUUCAACAUUGCUUCCUUAAGUCCUUCCGCUCUUUUUCCCGCUAAUUUAUUUAUAAUGAAAACGACCCUUUAAAUGUGAAUUAGAGAUUAAUUCAUUCGAGGAAGUUGCAGCAGGUUUCUCCUUUAAAAUCCUUUUUUAUAGACGUGUACCUCUAAAGAAAAAAAAUCCAUUGAAGGCAAACAUAAAACCAUUUACAACUUAACAAUAUACAAACAGUGAAAGAGUCAAUAUUUAAAUUCCCAAGUUUUGUGGUGCAUAAUUCUCCCUCUAUUCCCGACAAUCCACUAUUUUGUUUAAAACUGUAUGACUGAAAGUAAUUACAUAUAUUUUUUGUAGAUGUCGAUAAUAUUCUUUAAAUUACCAUUUAUGAAGAAAAAUCAAGAGUAGUUGUUAGAUCCGGUUAGUGGCAGGGCCAAUGCUUAAUGGGAAAAAAGACGAUAGUAUGUUCGACCGAUUGUCUCUUUUUGUUCUGUAUGCGGAUCUUCUUUAAAAAGUUUAUAAGUAACUUAAGGCCUUAGUGGUGAAAAUAUCAAGUGGUUUUUGAAGGUUUUAAUGUUGAAGGUGAGCUGAAAAUAUCAGAGAUUUCCAGUCCAAUUUUUUGGACAAAAUGCCUUGUUAAAGAGGCAUAAACCCCAUUUUGAGAAAAACCUCUAGAUACUUUUCCCUAAUUUUCUCUAAAAAACUUUUAGGAAUACGACAAAUAUUCUUUUAGCAUUGGAAUCUUAUUCAAAAAUAGAACCAAUCAUUAAGAAUAAUAUUUAGCUGUAAAUCGAAGGGAUGAAUUGAAUAUUGUUUAGAAUUUUUGAGAGGAAUGAAAAAUUACACCAAAUGCCUGGACUAAUGCAAACCAUUACUUCAAAGGUUUUAAAAACGUAAAAAAAUAACUUCGAAAGCCUGGAUUAAGAUUUAUGCCAAAUAUCUGGAAUACAGUGAAGGAUUACUUCAUAUUCUUGGAAUACGUAAAAAAUUUAGAUGAUGAUGAUGAUCGUAAAUAUUUGAAAUUUUUAAGAGGUAUAAAUCAUUGUUCCAGAUGUCUGGAAAUCAUCGAAAAUGACUUUAAGAGAAUAACAAAAUUUAAAAAAAAAUUUGGAAUUCUUGUAAGGAGUAAAGUAUAUUGCCAGAAGCCUGAGACUGAAGUAGAGCAUCACUUCAAAGGUUUUAAAGACCGAUGAUAUAUUUGGAAUUUUCGAGAGGAAUAUUAAAUAUUCCAGAUGUCUGGAAAUCAUAAAAAAUGACUUUGAGAGAAUAACAAAAUUCGAAUCGUUAUAUGCAAUUCUUGUGAGAAGUAAAGUAUUAUGCCAAAUACCUGGAAUGAAGUAAAGAAUUUCUCGAUAUUGCUGAAAAUUCUGAACAUAUAGUUUGAAUUUUUGAGCGGUAUGAAAAACUAUACCAAAUGUCUGGACUAAAGUAAUUCUUUCUUUUGAACUGCCUGAUAAGGAUUUGAAUAAGAUAUCCAGACGACUCAAUAUGCGGUAGAAAAUAAAAAAGUAGACUUUUGACCCUUGAACUGGCAAAAAUGUCCAUCUGAGGUCCAGACAUCAUGGACGAUCGCUAUGAAAUUAUGCCUCUCGUCUGUAUUUGGAUUAAAUACGUUGGAAAAGUAACAUUUCCAAACGAUCCAGGAUGUUCCUGGAAGGUGAGAUGCGGUAGAAAGUGAAAAAGUGGACUUUUGACCCUUAAAUCGGCAUUUAUGUCCAUCUGAGGUCCAGAAAUCAUGUACGAUCGCUAUGAAAUUAUGCCUCUCGUCUGUAUUUGGAUUAAAUACGUUGGAAAAGUAACAUUUCCAUACGAUCCAGGAUGUUCCUGGAAGGUGAGAUGCGGUAGAAAGUGAAAAAGUGGACUUUUGACCCUUAAAUCGGCAUUUAUGACUAUCUGAGGUCCACAAAUCAUGGACGAUCGCUAUGAAAUUAUGCCUCUCGUCUGUAUUUGGAUUAAAUACGUUGGAAAAGUAACAUUUCCAAACGAUCCAGGAUGUUCCUUGAAGGUGAGAUGCGGUAGAAAGUGAAAAAGUGGACUUUUGACCCUUAAAUCGGCAUUUAUGUCCAUCUGAGGUCCAGAAAUCAUGUACGAUCGCUAUGAAAUUAUGCCUCUCGUCUGUAUUUGGAUUAAAUACGUUGGAAAAGUAACAUUUCCAAACGAUCCAGGAUGUUCCUAGAAGGUGAGAUGCGGUAGAAAGUGAAAAAGUGGACUUUUGACCCUUAAAUCGGCAUUUAUGACUAUCUGAGGUCCACAAAUCAUGGACGAUCGCUAUGAAAUUAUGCCUCUCGUCUGUAUUUGGAUUAAAUACGUUGGAAAAGUAACAUUUCCAAACGAUCCAGGAUGUUCCUUGAAGGUGAGAUGCGGUAGAAAGUGAAAAAGUGGACUUUUGACCCUUAAAUCGGCAUUUAUGUCCAUCUGAGGUCCAGAAAUCAUGUACGAUCGCUAUGAAAUUAUGCCUCUCGUCUGUAUUUGGAUUAAAUAUGUUGGAAAAGUAACAUUUCCAUACGAUCCAGGAUGUUCCUGGAAGGUGAGAUGCGGUAGAAUGUGAAAAAGUGAACUUUUGACCCUUAAAUCGGCAUUUAUGACUAUCUGAGGUCCAGAAAUCAUGUACGAUCGCUAUGAAAUUAUGCCUCUCGUCUGUAUUUCGAUUAAAUACGUUGGAAAAGUAACAUUUCCAAACGAUCCAGGAUGUUCCUGGAAGGUGAGAUGCGGUAGAAAGUGAAAAAGUGGACUUUUGACCCUUAAAUCGGCAUUUAUGUCCAUCUGAGGUCCAGAAAUCAUGGACGAUCGCUAUGAAUUUAUGCCUCUCGUCUGUAUUUGGAUUAAAUACGUUGGAAAAGUAACAUUUCCAGAUGAUCCAGGAUGUUCCUGGAAGGUGAGAUGCGGUAGAAAGUGAAAAAGAGGACUUUUGACCCUUAAAUCGGCAUUUAUGACCAUCUGAGGUCCAGAAAUCAUGGACGAUCGCUAUGAAAUUAUGCCUCUCGUCUGUAUUUCGAUUAAAUACGUUGGAAAAGUAACAUUUCCAAACGAUCCAGGAUGUUCCUGGAAGGUGAGAUGCGGUAGAAAGUAAAAAAGUGGACUUUUGACCCUUAAAUCGGCAUUUAUGACCAUCUGAGGUCCAGAAAUCAUGUACGAUCGCUAUGAAAUUAUGCCUCUCGUCUGUAUUUGGAUUAAAUAUGUUGGAAAAGUAACAUUUCCAUACGAUCCAGGAUGUUCCUGGAAGGUGAGAUGCGGUAGAAUGUGAAAAAGUGGACUUUUGACCCUUAAAUCGGCAUUUAUGACUAUCUGAGGUCCAGAAAUCAUGGACGAUCGCUAUGAAUUUAUGCCUCUCGUCUGUAUUUGGAUUAAAUACGUUGGAAAAGUAACAUUUCCAGAUGAUCCAGGAUGUUCCUGGAAGGUGAGAUGCGGUAGAAAGUGAAAAAGUGGACUUUUGACCCUUAAAUCGGCAUUUAUGUCCAUCUGAGGUCCAGAAAUCAUGGACGAUCGCUAUGAAUUUAUGCCUCUCGUCUGUAUUUGGAUUAAAUACGUUGGAAAAGUAACAUUUCCAGAUGAUCCAGGAUGUUCCUGGAAGGUGAGAUGCGGUAGAAAGUGAAAAAGAGGACUUUUGACCCUUAAAUCGGCAUUUAUGACCAUCUGAGGUCCAGAAAUCAUGGACGAUCGCUAUGAAAUUAUGCCUCUCGUCUGUAUUUCGAUUAAAUACGUUGGAAAAGUAACAUUUCCAAACGAUCCAGGAUGUUCCUGGAAGGUGAGAUGCGGUAGAAAGUGAAAAAGUGGACUUUUGACCCUUAAAUCGGCAUUUAUGUCCAUCUGAGGUCCAGAAAUCAUGUACGAUCGCUAUGAAAUUAUGCCUCUCGUCUGUAUUUGGAUUAAAUAUGUUGGAAAAGUAACAUUUCCAUACGAUCCAGGAUGUUCCUGGAAGGUGAGAUGCCGUAGAAAGUGAAAAAGUGGACUUUUGACCCUUAAAUCGGCAUUUAUGUCCAUCUGAGGUCCAGAAAUCAUGGACGAUCGCUAUGAAAUUAUGCCUCUCGUCUGUAUUUGGACUAAAUACGUUGGAAAAGUAACAUUUCCAUACGAUCCAGGAUGUUCCUGGAAGGUGAGAUGCGGUAGAAUGUGAAAAAGUGGACUUUUGACCCUUAAAUCGGCAUUUAUGACUAUCUGAGGUCCAGAAAUCAUGAACGAUCGCUAUGAAAUUAUGCCUCUCGUCUGUAUUUGGAUUAAAUACGUUGGAAAAGUAACAUUUCCAGAUGAUCCAGGAUGUUAGUGGAAGGUGAGAUGCGGUAGAAAGUGAAAAAAAGGACUUUUGACCCUUAAAUCGGCAUUUAUGUCCAUCUGAGGUCCAGAAAUCAUGUACGAUCGCUAUGAAAUUAUGCCUCUUGUCUGUAUUUGGAUCAAAUACGCUGGAAAAGUAACAUUUCCAAACGAUCCAGGAUGUUCCUGGAAGGUGAGAUGCGGUAGAAAGUGAAAAAGUGGACUUUUGACCCUUAAAUCGGCAUUUAUGUCCAUCUGAGGUCCAGAAAUCAUGGACGAUCGCUAUGAAUUUAUGCCUCUCGUCUGUAUUUGGAUUAACUACGUUGGAAAAGUAACGUUUCCAGAUGAUCCAGGAUGUUAGUGGAAGGUGAGAUGCGGUAGAAAGUGAAAAAGUGGACUUUUGACCCUUAAAUCGGCAUUUAUGUCCAUCUGAGGUCCAGAAAUCAUGUACGAUCGCUAUGAAAUUAUGCCUCUCGUCUGUAUUUGGAUUAAAUACGUUGGAAAAGUAACAUUUCCAAACGAUCCAGGAUGUUCCUGGAAGGUGAGAUGCGGUAGAAAGUGAAAAAGUGGACUUUUGACCCUUAAAUGUGUAAAAAUGUCCAUCUGAGGUCCAGAAAUCAUGGACGAUCGCUAUGAAAUUAUGCCUCUCGUCUGUAUUUGGAUUAAAUACGUUGGAAAAGUAACAUUUCCAAACGAUCCAGGAUGUUCCUGGAAGGUGAGAUGCGGUAGAAAGUGAAAAAGUGGACUUUUGACCCUUAAAUCGGCAUUUAUGUCUAUCUGAGGUC
rnacentral:lncRNA from 1 species